UGCCGGCGGCGGCGAAGGAGGCUUCUGGCAGCACUGGCACUGCUGGUGAGGAGGGCACUGCCACGGCCAGCUCUGGCACAUCCCAGGGUUCGGCACCAGGUACGGGUACGGCACGAACUUGUACUCCGUUUUGGGCGUCGCCGCCUUAGGCUUUUCCUCAGGCUUAGGCUUUUGCUCCUGCUUAGGCUUGGGCUUGCAGUGAUCACAGACACAGCAUUUCUCAGGCUUGGGCUUGCAGUGGUCACAGACACAGCAUUUCUCAGGCUUGGGAUUGCAAGGAUCGCAUGGCUUGGGUGGCUUGGGUGGAAUCGGCCAGACGUCCACGAUGAUGAUCUCCUUCACGACCUUACUCCCGGCCUUGCACCAGACCUUCUUGCAGAGCUUCUCGGCGUCGAAUUUCCCGCGCACCACCACCACCUUCUUCUCCUUCUUGUCCUCGAACUCCACCUUCUCGAUGCAGAAUUCCUCUGCACAUCAAUUGGAAAACAAAAGAUAAUUUGACUGCCCGAUUUGUUGUUGCAAGCACAGAUCAGAAUUCUGCCUCGUAAGCUAGUAGUUACAGUCUUAAUUAUGGUUAUUUAAUUAAACGCAGGAUUGUUCGGUAAUCUUCACGUUUCAUAUUAUGCCUAGACUGUGUGUGCUAAAACGUUUUCAGAUUCAGAUUGAUCAUUUGGUUUCAGAAGAAUCUUGCAAAGCAAGAUUGUUCAUACUUUCCUCUGCAAAACUGGGAAGCCCCAACGUCUUACCUUUAUUUGUUUCUUUCUUUAUUUUGUGAAAAUACGUUGCACUACAGCUUGAAUGAUAUCAGUUUCUUGGAGCAAGGAUUGUUCGUGGUCGUACUCUGCUUUCAUUCUAGGUCCAUAUGAAUGGCUGUAUUGUAUCUGUCUACAAUUGCAUCAUGGAAGUAUUCCCAUCUUUAUAUAGAUAGUAACAAAAAUGUACCUUUGAGACAGUCGAGGACUUUGGUGAUCUUGGCUCUACAGCGACAGCAGUCUAGGUCCACCGUAAUCACCAGUAUACCCAUCUGCAAACAAACAUGCAUGUGAAACAAAUAGUAUUGGCGAAUUGCCGAACAGAAAGUAGCAGAGCAUCAGCACAGCUCCUGCCAUCCUUUCAAGUGAAAAUCUAUGCUUUGGUAACGAUCUGAAACGAAAUGCUUCUUUUUCUG
rnacentral:lncRNA from 1 species